UACAGAGGGGGCAAGCGUUGUCCGGAAUUAUUGGCGUAAAGGGCUCGAUAGGCGGUUUGUCGCGUCGGGAGUGAAACCGUCGGGACUUAACUCGGGGCUUGCUUUCGAUACGGGCAGACUAGGAGUAUGCAGGGGAGAACGGAAUUCCUGGUGUAGCGGUGAAAUGCGCAGAGUAUCAGGAGGAACACCGGUGGCGAAGGCGGCUUGCUGGGCCUUACCUGACGCUGAGGAGCGAAAGCGUGGGGAGCGAACAGG
rnacentral:rRNA from 1 species